GGUGGCUCAGUGGUAGAGUGCUUGCCUUGCAUGCAUGAACCCCUGGGUUCGAUUUCCCAGCACCA
rnacentral:tRNA from 1 species